CGGGGCUCCCUGCUCGGGGGGCGUCGGCUUCGGUACUGUAGCUCCCAGCAGAGAAGUCUGGGGCUGGGGAGGAGGUGUCUUACGAAAGAGAACAGCGAUCCCGACACAGGCGACAUCUGCCAUGAUGGCCUUUUACUCUGUUCUGGGGAUGAGUUUGGUCCCAGUUUAGUUUUCAGAGAACCUGUGGCUCAGCACCCCCACCCCGCCUCCCUCUGAAGGACCCCUCACUUCCCAACAGGAGGGACAGAAGCAGGACUAACCGCGAAGGCCUCCUCUGCUUUAGAAAACUUUAUCUCAAAGUGAGACGGAACCAGACAUGCUUUUGUGGACCUUUCAGCACGGACAUCUUGGUAUAAUAAACCAAGUUCAAGACACCAAUUUCAGGAUGGAGAGCUAAUCUUGAUCAUAUACUCUAUGCACGAUAAACGACGUUCUGCUUACAGUCACCCUUUCCUUUAGGGCAGCCACUGUAUCUGAUUCACCUGAAAGUUCUACAACUGAACACAACCAAGAAGGCGCCCAAUAAAUGUUUGUUGAAUGAAUGAAUAAAAUACCUGUGGGCUUAGGUUCUACCGCGGGGCCAGAUUCUGGGUUCCAGCUCACCUUUAGAGGGUCAACCUCCCUCCAGUCCCUUUCC